GACGAACGCUGGCGGCGUGCUUAACACAUGCAAGUCGAGCGGUAAGGCCUCCUUCGGGGGGUACACGAGCGGCGAACGGGUGAGUAACACGUGAGUAAUCUGCCCUUCACUCUGGGAUAAGCACCGGAAACGGUGUCUAAUACCGGAUAUGACCAGCCUACGCAUGUGGUGUUGGUGGAAAGUUUUUUCGGUGGGGGAUGUGCUCGCGGCCUAUCAGCUUGAUGGUGGGGUAAUGGCCUACCAUGGCGUCGACGGGUAGCCGGCCUGAGAGGGUGACCGGUCACACUGGGACUGAGACACGGCCCAGACUCCUACGGGAGGCAGCAGUGGGGAAUAUUGGACAAUGGGCGGAAGCCUGAUCCAGCAACGCCGCGUGAGGGAUGACGGCCUUCGGGUUGUAAACCUCUUUCAUCACCGACGAAGCCUUUGGGUGACGGUAGGUGGAGAAGAAGCACCGGCCAACUACGUGCCAGCAGCCGCGGUAAUAC
rnacentral:rRNA from 1 species